GCCGCGUGAGUGAAGAAGGUUUUCGGAUCGUAAAACUCUGUUGUCAGGGAAGAACAAGUACCAUAGUAACUGAUGGUACCUUGACGGUACCUGACCAGAAAGCCACGGCUAACUACGUGCCAGCAGCCGCGGUAAUACGUAGGUGGCAAGCGUUGUCCGGAUUUAUUGGGCGUAAAGCGCGCGCAGGCGGUCUUUUAAGUCUGAUGUGAAAGCCCACGGCUCAACCGUGGAGGGUCAUUGGAAACUGGGAGACUUGAGUGCAGAAGAGGAGAGUGGAAUUCCACGUGUAGCGGUGAAAUGCGUAGAGAUGUGGAGGAACACCAGUGGCGAAGGCGACUCUCUGGUCUGUAACUGACGCUGAGGCGCGAAAGCGUGGGGAGCGAACAGGAUUAGAUACCCUGGUAGUCCACGCCGUAAACGAUGAGUGCUAAGUGUUAGAGGGUUUCCGCCCUUUAGUGCUGCAGCUAACGCAUUAAGCACUCCGCCUGGGGAGUACGGCCGCAAGGCUGAAACUCAAAGGAAUUGACGGGGGCCCGCACAAGCGGUGGAGCAUGUGGUUUAAUUCGAAGCAACGCGAAGAACCUUACCAGGUCUUGACAUCCUCUGACAACUCUAGAGAUAGAGCUUUCCCCUUCGGGGGACAGAGUGACAGGUGGUGCAUGGUUGUCGUCAGCUCGUGUCGUGAGAUGUUGGGUUAAGUCCCGCAACGAGCGCAACCCUUGAUCUUAGUUGCCAGCAUUCAGUUGGGCACUCUAAGGUGACUGCCGGUGACAAACCGGAGGAA
rnacentral:rRNA from 1 species